rnacentral:rRNA from 1 species
CUACACAUGCAGUAGAACGCUGAGGUUUGGUGUUUACACUAGACUGAUGAGUUGCGAACGGGUGAGUAACGCGUAGGUAACCUGCCUCAUAGCGGGGGAUAACUAUUGGAAACGAUAGCUAAUACCGCAUAAGAGUAAUUAACACAUGUUAGUUAUUUAAAAGGAGCAAUUGCUUCACUGUGAGAUGGACCUGCGUUGUAUUAGCUAGUUGGUGAGGUAAAGGCUCACCAAGGCGACGAUACAUAGCCGACCUGAGAGGGUGAUCGGCCACACUGGGACUGAGACACGGCCCAAACUCCUACGGGAGGCAGCAGUAG